AUGAUGACUCUCGGCAAUGGAUAUCUCGGCUCUCGCAUCGAUGAAGAACGUAGCGAAAUGCGAUACUUGGUGUGAAUUGCAGAAUCCCGUGAACCAUCGAGUCUUUGAAUGCAAGUUGCGCCCGAGGCCACCCGGUCGAGGGCACGCCUGGCUGGGCGUCAUGC
rnacentral:rRNA from 1 species